AUACCGGCCAGAGACCGAUAGCGCACAAGUAGAGUGAUCGAAAGAUGAAAAGCACUUUGAAAAGAGGGUUAAAUAGUACGUGAAAUUGUUGAAAGGGAAGGAUUUAUGACCAGACCUUUGCCUUGCGGAUCAUCCGGUGUUCUCACCGGUGCACUUCGCUUGGUUGAGGCCAGCAUCAGUUUUGGCGGCGGGAUAAAGACUUCAGGAACGUGACUCCCCCGGGAGUGUUAUAGCCUGCUGUGUAAUACCGCCGCUGGGACUGAGGACCGCGCUUCGGCUAGGAUGCUGGCAUAAUGGUCAUCAAUCACCCGUCUUGAAACACGGACC
rnacentral:rRNA from 1 species